rnacentral:rRNA from 1 species
AGAUUGAACGCUGGCGGCGUGCCUAACACAUGCAAGUCGAGCGGUAACAGGUGUAGCAAUACAUGCUGACGAGCGGCGAACGGGUGAGUAAUGCUUUGGAAUCUUCCCAGUAGUGGGGAAUAACCAGUCGAAAGAUUGGCUAAUACCGCAUACGUCUGUAAAGGGAAAGCGGGGGCUCGUAAGACCUCGCGCUAUUGGAUGAGCCAAAGUCGGAUUAGCUAGUUGGUGGGUAACGGCCUACCAAGGCGACAAUCCGUAGCUGGUCUGAGAGGACGACCAGCCACACCGGAACUGAGACACGGUCCGGACUCCUACGGGAGGCAGCAGUGGGGAAUAUUGGACAAUGGGGGAAACCCUGAUCCAGCGACGCCGCGUGUGUGAAGAAGGCCUGCGGGUUGUAAAGCACUUUUAGUGGGGACAAAAAAGCUACGGAUUAAUACUCUGUGGUCUUGAUUUAACCCAAAGAAAAGCACCGGCUAACUCUGCGCCAGCAGCCGCGGU